ACGACGCUGGCGGCGUGCCUAAUACAUGCAAGUCGAACGGUCUUUCUAUGGAAGCUUGCUUCCACUGAGAAGAUAGUGGCGAACGGGUGAGUAACACGUGGGUAACCUGCCCAUAAGAGGGGGGAUAACAUCCGGAAACGGGUGCUAAUACCGCAUAGUUUUCUUGAUUGCAUGAUUGAGAAGGAAAGACGGCCUUUGCGCUGUCGCUUAUGGAUGGACCCGCGGCGUAUUAGUUAGUUGGUGAGGUAACGGCUCACCAAGACGAUGAUACGUAGCCGACCUGAGAGGGUGAUCGGCCACAUUGGGACUGAGACACGGCCCAAACUCCUACGGGAGGCAGCAGUAGGGAAUCUUCCGCAAUGGACGAAAGUCUGACGGAGCAACGCCGCGUGAGUGAAAGAAGGUUUUCGGAUCGUAAAACUCUGUUGUCAGAGAAGAACAAGUUGGAGAGUAACUGCUCCAGCCUUGACGGUAUCUGACCAGAAAGCCACGGCUAACUACGUGCCAGCCGCGGC
rnacentral:rRNA from 1 species